rnacentral:lncRNA from 1 species
CCGCGGGCCCUCGGUGCAGCAAAUCGGAAAGUGCUGCGGUCGGCGGCCCUGGGCUCUGAGCGCUCAAGCGAGCAGAGGGGUGGAGGGGCUCUCCCCACCCACAGGAGGCUCUCGGCGGGGCGCAGCCAAUUCUGCGCGCCCAAGGCUCCCCUCUGCCGUGGAUCGCGUGUGCCGAGUGUUGGCCUCUUCCCCGAAAGGGCCAGACGGACCAAGGGGGCCUUCCCAGCCGGCUGCAAGCUCUCAGACGCUAAAAUGGGAACAAAGCUUCCAGAAAGGCAGCGCCUUUGGGCGGCCGCGCCCCGCCCAGCCGCGGGGGCCAUUGAUACAGAGGCUUGCUGCGCUUGGUGUGCGCGGCCCGGCCGGGCCUCUGGAAACGCCCAUGAGAAAUGAGCUCAUGCUGGAUGCGCGCGCUCCUUGGGCGCAACUGCCCAGCGCAAAACGGGCCCCGAAAGCAGGUGAGGGGAAAUGCCGUCAGGCCGGAUAUCCUGAAGCCUCCGAGGAAAUGGGGGGGUCAGAGGAGCCCGUGGUAGCUUUGGAUCUUUUGGAACUAGGGUGAUCUAUAAAAGUGCAGCUUGAGAAGAUUUCAUACAUAAGACCAGCGUCCAUUGUUCUACCAUAGAACCAGUUCCUUUGGUCUGCUUUAGAACAGUGAGGUAUGGCUACGUCAAGAUAACAGAGAAAGUAGAACAGACAGUUGCCAUCCUGAUUGUAAUCCAGUGGUGCCUGUAAUUUCUACCUGCAGAGUCAUCUCUUUCUGUUAAGAUGCUGUCUCCAGAAAGCACAUGUUAAAGGACCUAUAUUUGAUCAGAUUACCUGGCUCUUGCUUUGAAACACUGAUGAAGGACUUGGGACAGAACAAAGUGAGUGGAGGACACUUCAAUCUAAAGUGAUCUUAAAGGAGGAGUAGUAGGAUUUGAAGAUGAAGAAAGAAGAGGGGAGGUAAAUUACUUUCCAUCACUUCAAUUUCAACCCAUCAGAUAAAACCUCUCUUUAGUAAACCUGCAUGUGGGUGGAGCUGUAACAGCAAUUAAGGACAGUGUGACUCUGUUCUUCUGACUUUGGGAAAACCAGUUUGGCUGGAACAAAAAGCUGAUAGAGAAGACUAAUGGAAGAUAAGGUUGAAAAGGUAGGUUUGAGGGAGCUUUGUUACAGGAAAAAAAAAAAAAAAAAACUGGGCUUUGUCCUGUAGACAGUGGAGAGGUACUUUAGCAGAUGUAAGACAUUACCAUUAUAGGAAAGCCUCUGAAGUAACAUACACUGUGGUUUUUCCUGUUGCUGAAAAUAUGCCCAGAGUAACAAGAUGUGGCAUAGUUGGUUAUGUGUCUUAUAACCAGUGAGGUGUGCCCAAAUGGGAAAUUAAUGAAUGACUACCCAAAAAGAAGAGGGAGAGUGUUUGAAACACUGUCACUGUGAAAUAGACUGGUUGUAUGAAAAGUUGCAUAUCAAGCCUUUGGCAAAUUAUAUAAAUACUCUGAUUUUGACAUCUUAAAGGAGUAUACUAUAGAAAAUAAAAGAAAAACACUUGAAUCUGUUACAGGAAACGGGUCAUGAUCCAGACCCCAGGAGAGGGUUCUUGGAUCUCACACAAGAAAGAAUUCAGGGUGACCCCACAGUGCAAAAGUCAAAGCAAGUAUUAAGAAAAUGAAGGAAUAACAGAAUGGCUACUACAUAGAGCAGCCCUGAGGGCUGCUGGUUGCCCUUUUUUUUUUUUCCUUUGAGAUGGAGUUUUCGUUCUUGUUGCCCAGGCUGGAGUGCAAUGGCGUGAUCUCGGCUCACCACAACCUCCACCUCCCAGGUUCAAGCAAUUCUGCCUCAGCCUCCCGAGUAGCUGAGAUUACAGGCAUGCGCCACCACGCCCGGCUAAUUUUGUGUUUUUAGUAGAGUGAGGGUUUCUCCAUGUUGGUCAGGUUGGUCUUGAACUUCCGACCUCAGUUGAUCUGCCCGCCUUGGCCUCCCAAAGUACUGGGAUUACAGGCAUAAGCCACCGCACCUGGCCUGGUUGCCCAUUCUUUAUGGUCGUUUCUUGAUGAUAUGCUAACCAAGGAGUGGAUUAAUCAUGCCUCCCCUUUUUGGACCACAUAGGGUCUAAACUGUCAUGGCACAUUUGUAAACUGUCAUGGCACUGGUGGGAGUGUAGCAGUGAGGACGACCAGAGGUCACUCUCGUCGCCAUUUUGGUUUUGGUGGGUUUUGGCCAGCUCCUUUACUGCAACCUGUUUUAUCAGCAAGGUCUUUAAGACCUGUAUUUUGUGCUGACCUCCUAUCUCAUCCUGUGACUUAGAAUGCCUUAACUGACCAUCUGGGAAUGCAGCCCAAUAGAUUUCACCCUCAUUUUGCCCGGCUCCUGUUUAAGAUGGAGUUGCUCUGGUUCACAUGCCUCUAACAAAUCCUUUUAGUUUUUCAUGCUUGUCACAUGUUUACUUCUAAGGGUAUAAUCAUGUGGUUUACUAUAUUAUUACCGAUUAGAUUAUUUUGAACUACUUCAAUUUUAUUUAUUUUACCUCAUUUCCAUUCACAUUUUUUGAAAAGAG